rnacentral:tRNA from 1 species
GCGCAGGUGGUGUAACUGGUAGCCACGCAUCCUUGAGGGGGAUGUGUCCUUACGGACGUGGAGGUUCAAAUCCUCUCCUGCGCA